UGGAUGUUCUAUGAGAAGCAGUCA
rnacentral:piRNA from 1 species